GUCUGUUUUAGGGCUGCAGUCUCAAAAAAAGACCUGCAAGUCUAUGUCUCGCUUUCCUUUCAUGUUCUGUCACCAACCCCAUCAGGAUAUAAACAAAGACACAUGCAGACACACCAGCAAUUGCUUUGGGUAAUAAACUUCUCUGGUCACCCCAAGACAAGGCAACAGACCUCAGUUAAUCAUAGCUCAGCAUCCACAUUUUGAAACAAGACGCACUGAGAUGGCAGAACCAACACCGCAUGUGCUGUUUCCACAGGGCAGAAAGAAAACCCCUUUGAUCAGCUA